CCCACCCCCCACCAGCACUUCUGUGCGCUCCAGCUGACCCCCAGCUGCCGGGCUCCGCAUCCCUUUGACUGGGGGCUUUUUUCCAUAACCGAGGAAAGCCAGAGAGAGGAAUGAAAACCACCCAAAAGCAGAAGCAACCCCAACCAGCAGGUGGCGGGAGUUGGUGUACAAGUACCCCAGUCCCUCGCCCCUCGGUGGGAUAACCCCUAGCAUGGGUUCUGUGAGCUGUUUCACACAGAGUGAAUUAAGACAAAAAUACAUGGUGUGUGAAGACUUCAGGAUAUCCCAUAUUAUAACUGGGAUUGAUGAAGUCCUCAUCAAGAAAGCAACAGAGAGCGAAUCGAAAGAGGAAAGAUGAUGUUGAACAUGCCAAGUAGAACAAUAAACGAGAUCUAUUACUGCGAAGGUGUUCAGAAUUAGUGUAUCUCACCGUCAGAGAGACACAACCAACAACAGAUGCGAAGCCAAUGAGGACGUCAGAAUGACACUUGAAAGACCGGAACGAGUGUGGCACCAAGCUGGGAAAACACAACAAGGUAUGAAAUCAUGAGAAUGAUUCGAUUUAAAUAAACCAAAACUGCAAAUGCAUCUUCAUCUUCUCAAAUCCUUUUUUGGUGGGAAGUCAUGCCAACUCCAUCAGCAUUUGCCUGAGUAUGGACUGCAGAACUGGCCCUAGGUGAUGCUAAUCGUUAUUGCAGGUAAAAUUAUUCCAGGGUUUAAUAAUUUAUAAGCAAAAUAAGUCUUAAAGAGAUUUCUUUAUUAUAGGGUUUCUCAAGUUUUUGAAUUGUGCCAACAUGCUUUAUGAAUCUUCAAAGUUAGAAGGCAGAUGGUAUGGAUUUACUAACUUAUGUAAAGUUUUUUUUUCUUUUUUUUAUGGGACAGCUAAGAGACUGGUGUGGUCUGAGGAACACACUUUGGGAAAUGCUGAAUCAGACAGGCUUUUAAUGGAGGCUACUUCUGUUAGAGAAAUUUCACAGUUGAACCUGAAUUGAAAGACAAUCCUGUAAAACUUUCUGGACUGGUGGUUCUCAGUCCUGGCUGCCCAUUAAAAUCACCUGGGAGCUUUAGACAAGCCAUCACCAAGGCCCUACCCCCAGCCCGCUGAGUGAGGGUUUCCCAUCUAUCAAACGGAAAUAAUACCUACCUCACAGAAUUGUUGUGAAACCUAAAGGAGAUCAUGUAUGUAAAAUGCCCACUCUGGGGCCUGAAACAAAGUUCAGUCUUUGGAACAAUGUUUCUUUCUGGGGAUAGUGUAGAUCCAAUGAAAAAUGGAGAUGAUAUUAUGUAAAUAGAAAAUCACUCUUUGGCCACACCCUGGUUCUGCAUCGACAGAUGCUAAUAAUGGAUGAUGAGAAACAGGAUGUUUGCAUCGCCUGAAUAUUUCCCCACAAUACACCUAGUAAUUACAAAGGGAAAAACAGUAACUUUACCUUGGAAAACUCUGGCAGUCCCCAUCCUAACUAAAUGAUGAAAGGUAACCUAACCAGUAAUGAGACACGUCCACACCACAUGCCCCCUGGUACAAGGGGACACCGAGAUGACCACAUCAUGGCUUCUGUAGUAUUCUUGCCAAAAAUACAUUAUCCGGAGGAAUUACACAAGGAAACAUCAGGCAAACCCCAGUCAAAGACAUUUUAUAAGAUUACUGGCCAGCACUUUUCUAAAGUGUCAAGGUCAUAAAAGAAAAGGAAAGACUGAAGAACUGUCCCUGAUGGGAGGAGACUAAGAAACUAAAUGUGAUGUGGGAGCCUGGACUGACUCAGGGACCAGAAAGGGGGUAUUAGUGGGACAACUGACAAAAAUUCGGUAAGCUCUGUAAAUGAUGCAUUUUUUCAAGGUUGUUUCCCUGGUUUCGAUAAUUGUGCGAUGGUUCUUGGGAAUGAUGGAUGAAGGGUAAAUGGAACUCUGUACUAUUUUGCAAUUUUUUUGUAAGUCUGAAAAGUUUUCAAAAUGAAAAGUUAAAAUAUUAGAAAAAUUUAAUGAUUAUUUCUUUCUUAUUCAGGGGCUUUUGAGAUAAUGGAAUCAAUAUUUGAGGAGGUUUUUCUCCCUUUUGGGUAUUUGGAGUUUAGGGGAAAUAGGGCCCCUAUACAAUGUAGUCUACAUUGAGCGUUGUAAAUAGCAGCCCAAGAUGGUCCUUUUAACAAGCAUUUCCUGUGGUUUGGAUACAUGUGGUCUAAAUACCUGAUAGAGGAUUUGAUAGAAGACAUAAAGCCAAAAGUGCUCCAGGAAAGAGGAGGGUCAAAGCCGAGGUGGCGGUGGCGGUGGCGGUGAAGUGAAAUUAAGAGCUGCUAGAUAGGGGUGUCAGAGAAAGUCUUUGGUGUUUGAGUAAGGACAGGGGGAGGGCAGAGAGUGCUGGGGGUAGGGAAUAGCUAUGAAUGAUACUUCAAAGGGCAGAGAAGGGACGGAAGAGUUUAAAGAUAUUUUCCUGGCAUUAAAUGUAUGUUCUCCUUGGCAUUUGCCUAUAAGCCUUUAGAGGUGAUUUUGAUUUUUUCUAAUUUUUGUUCUGUCUUUUUUUGUUUUGUUUUUUCCUUGAGUAUUAUUCUAUGCUGAGACUCAUCUUCCAGGGGUCUGGUUUAUACUUUUCUGCCACAUUGUGACACAGUCCGGAUCAUGUACCUUGUUUGGAAGACAGAUGACAACGCCAUUUACCUGGUAGCCCUUUGGCCUUAGGAAGAAAAGUGGCUUGGGCUGCGAACACCCCGCAGCAGGUGCACAGAACACAGCUCUCUGCUGUGGGGCAGGCACGGGGAACUGCGUCCACAGAAAUCCAGAAGAACGGCCGCAGCGGUGUGGCCGAGGAGCUCCUCGGGGUUUCUCAUGGAUUGCCUUCAACUGCAAUGCCCGUUCAUUUCUUCCUGAUCAUUUUCAGGACUGGAAGCCAGAAGUGAAUCUGAAGAGGCAAAAAAGACAGAUGAAUGAGCAUUAGAGCCAUUUCGAGUGCCUCUGACAUAAACUUUUCAUCGUGCGACGGCUGGCGUCAGGAAAAAUGCAAAAGAACACUUCAGAAUGGCAGAAAUUGAUCCUUGGGGGUUAUCUCAGACUUCCAUUGUUUAUGAGCUAUUUUCCAACUCUGCAAGUUGUUGGGAGCUGGGAGCAGCAAUGCAAAUGAUUUUUGUCCAUGGAUGUGAAAAUGACUUUCACCCUGUGGAGUGCAAUUAAUCCUCCCACCCACCUUGGGGAAGAAGCCAGUUUUGCAUCUAGUAUCGGACGCGCUCUGCCUGCACGCUGGGGUAGAAGGAUGCCGACACCAGGAUUUUGAGUUGCGUCAGGAUGGAGGACAGCAAGCCCAGCACCACUAGGACCACAAGAAUGAUGCUGAGAGGAAUCCAGGUCUUAGACAGAAGGAGCUUUGGUUCAGGGAUGCAGAGUCGGGAUGCCCAUGAGACUGCUGAAGUCUCGAGAAGACAAAGAAAUCCAGUUAACGUCAGCUAGUGGCUCUCCUGACAAAUGUGACCACAUCACCCAGUUUUACGGAACACCUGCUUCCACCCUAUAGGACAUGUGGGACUGAUGAAAGAUGGUUUUAGCUCAACUGGAGGAGAAGAUUUUUGGAACAUAGACCCAGUCAGAUCCUCCCCAUCUUGACAAAUACCCUGACAGCGGACCACAAUGUCACAAAGAUGUGGAAGCAUUAUAUUAUGUUCUAAAGCAACCUUCUAGACAUUGGGGGUGGGGAAUUACUCUUAGUGUAAGAAUACUAAAAAUAGUAUUUGCUGAAGGUGGCUUUAAAUCCUAUUUGUAGAGGUCUCAAACAGGACAUUUUCUCAAUUUUCCUGGAUGCUCAGGUGGAAUGUGUUCCUUUCUGCUUGAAGACAAGAGUACAGACCAGUUGCCCUCAGCUGACUGACACAGAGGGCAAAGGAUGACAUUGAACUACCCAGCCAACCCACCAGCAAGAGAAGUGUGUGCUGAUUCAGUGCUUUGUUUCCCCCGACCUGAGAAAGUCAUUUCAUCUCUCGGUGGAUUUGUUUUCUGAUUUGGUAAAACAGGAAUUAAUGGACCAGAUCCCGCCCAUGAAUAAACUACUCCCCAUGUAAAUUAAGCACCUUGGGGAUGGAGCAUUAACCUUACAGACGGGAGUCCUUAGUAAGUUAUUAUCACCACUGUACCCCAGAGCCCUGGGGCCAGGAAGAGGGAAAUGACUUCUCCAAAAGAACACAACCACACCUACAGAACAGAGUGCACCUUGAUCUACCCCAGUACCUGUGAAGACUCUGGACACUUCAAAUCUGGGACCUCUCUACAAUGGUCAAGUCACAUCUGGAAUUUCCCCGGCCCCAUGCCUAAGCAAGGAAAAGCAUUUGCACUGCCUCUCCUUUUCUCUUAUUAAAAAGUUCGCCUACAAUUAAAGAGAGAGAUUUCAGUCCCCA